rnacentral:rRNA from 1 species
ACGGGUGAGUAACACGUGGGAACGUACCCUUUUCUACGGAAUAACCCAGGGAAACUUGGACUAAUACCGUAUGUGCCCUUCGGGGGAAAGAUUUAUCGGAAAAGGAUCGGCCCGCGUUGGAUUAGCUAGUUGGUGGGGUAAAGGCCUACCAAGGCGACGAUCCAUAGCUGGUCUGAGAGGAUGAUCAGCCACAUUGGGACUGAGACACGGCCCAAACUCCUACGGGAGGCAGCAGUGGGGAAUAUUGGACAAUGGGCGCAAGCCUGAUCUAGCCAUGCCGCGUGAGUGAUGAAGGCCUUAGGGUUGAAAAGCUCUUUCACCGGAGAAGAUAAUGACGGUAUCCGGAGAAGAAGCCCCGGCUAACUUCGUGCCAGCAGCCGCGGUAAUACGAAGGGGGCUAGCGUUGUUCGGAAUUACUGGGCGUAAAGCGCACGUAGGCGGAUAUUUAAGUCAGGGGUGAAAUCCCAGAGCUCAACUCUGGAACUGCCUUUGAUACUGGGUAUCUUGAGUAUGGAAGAGGUAAGUGGAAUUCCGAGUGUAGAGGUGAAAUUCGUAGA